rnacentral:rRNA from 1 species
CCUACGGGAGGCAGCAGUGGGGAAUAUUGCACAAUGGGGGAAACCCUGAUGCAGCGACGCCGCGUGAGUGAAGAAGUAAUUCGUUAUGUAAAGCUCUAUCAGCAGGGAAGAAAAUGACGGUACCUGAGUAAGAAGCUCCGGCAAACUACGUGCCAGCAGCCGCGGAAAUACGUAGGGGGCAAGCGUUAUCCGGAUUUACUGGGUGUAACGGGAGCGUAGACGGUAGUGCAAGUCUGGAGUGAAAGGGGGGGCUCAACCCCCGGACUGCUCUGGAAACUGUACGGCUGGAGUGCAGGAGAGGUAAGUGGAAUUCCUGGUGUAGCGGUGAAAUGCGUAGAUAUUAGGAAGAACACCAGUGGCGAAGGCGGCUUACUGGACUGUAACUGACGUUGAGGCUCGAAAGCGUGGGGAGCAAACAGGAUUAGAUACCCGUGUAGUC